rnacentral:rRNA from 1 species
AAUGGGGGAAACCCUGACGCAGCAACGCCGCGUGGGUGAUGAAGGCCUUCGGGUCGUAAAGCCCUGUCGGGAGGGAAGAAAUGAUUGAGGGUUAAUACCUCUUGAUCUUGACGGUACCUCCGAAGGAAGCACCGGCUAACUCCGUGCCAGCAGCCGCGGUAAUACGGAGGAUCCGAGCGUUAUCCGGAUUUACUGGGUUUAAAGGGUGCGUAGGCGGGCGCAUAGGUAAGCGGAGAAAUGCAGCGGCUCAACCGUUGAACUGCCGUUGAAACUGGGCGCCUUGGAUGCGGUCGAGGCCGGCGGAAUGCGUGGUGUAGCGGUGAAAUGCUUAGAUAUCACGCAGAACGCCAAUUGCGAAGGCAGCUGGCCGGGCCGCAAUCGACGCUGAGGCACGAAAGCGUGGGGAUCAAA